GAGCCGUCCUGCGGGUGCAAGGCGGUAUUGUAAUUUUAAACUUGAUAUAAUUCAAAUUACCCAGUUAAGAUUGCUUCUGAUGGAGCUACUUUCACACAUUGUUUUUCUUUUUAUUGUUUCUGCCUUUCUUAUGUUGUAAUUUUUAUAGCUGAACAAGGUGGCCACUUGUUUCUGGGCUACUUUAAUAAGCUGCUAGCUCAUUAAGAUGGUUCUCCACCCCCCACCCAGUCUCUUUCUCUCUCUCUCUCUCAAAACUGGCAACAGUUUCGUCGGUUAACUCCUUGCUGAAAGCUGUGUUUCUCUCUGUGUAUUAAAAUAAGUUGAAACACCCAAAUACAAGGCAGCUUCUCUGUUUUGCUGUUUCUCUAUUUAGCUGCUUCGAAAAUUCAACCUUGGUUUUGCUUUAUCUCUUUCUUUUGCUUAUAGGUUUUAUUUUUUAUUUUUAAGAAUUGGUUUCUAGUCUUGUGGCUGAGGUUGAAGUGACACCACUCAGGAGUUUCAGGUGACCCCGCAAAAGUAAUUAAUGCAAAUAUCGUUGUCUUUUCUUUCAUUGGAAUUUUUGUAUAGGAGAUGUUUGUUGAGCUGCUUUAUCUUUAACCGGGUCUCUGUUUUUGUUCUGUAAUUGUGUUCUUUUUGGCAUUCAAUUCACGUGCAAUGAAACUUCAUAUUUGCUUAAUUAUCAGCUUUUUUUUUUCUUUUUAAACCUAUUUGUUUUGUUCCCAAAUUCAACUUCUUAUUGCUUUCAAUUUUCAAGUUCAAUAUUGUGUUAGAAGAGAUUGGGGAAGUACUAAGUGUUGAUUUGAUUCUUGGUUUUUUUACUUCUUGACUUGGGGUGAUGGGUUUCUACUAUUUCUUGGUUUUGAAGGAUAAAUUUCAAGUGAAAACUAUAGUUUUAAUCUUGGGUUUCGAUCAUUUAGUGUUAUUUCAUGUUGGUUUUGUUUUUAGGACCUAGUCCUGGUGGGGAUUUGCAAAUUUUUUGGGGUUUAAUAGAGAGAGCGAUAAUUAUUUGUUAAAAGCUAGGGAAUUCAAUCAGCAUCGACUAUGGAUGUGAAUUCGAGAACUGAGAUUGAUGAGGACGGUGACAACAAUAGAGGCAGUAUGUGGGAUUUGGAUCAGAAACUUGAUCAGCCUAUGGAUGAGGAAGCUGGAAGGCUUAGAAAUAUGUACAGAGAAAAGAAAUUCUCGCUGCUUUUGCUUCUUCGGCUUGCAUUUCAGAGUCUUGGUGUGGUUUAUGGGGACUUGGGUACUUCUCCAUUAUAUGUGUUCUACAAUACAUUUCCUCGAGGAAUAAAAGAUCCGGAGGAUGUAAUUGGAGCUCUUUCUUUGAUUAUAUACUCUCUUACUCUCAUCCCACUCCUCAAGUACGUCUUCAUUGUGUGCAGAGCUAAUGACAAUGGUCAAGGUGGUACAUUUGCUCUUUAUUCUUUGCUUUGCCGGCAUGCAAAAGUAAAAACUAUUCCAAAUCAACACCGGACAGAUGAGGAGCUAACAACAUAUAGUCGUUCUACCUUCCAUGAACAUUCAUUUGCUGCUAAAACUAAGCGAUGGUUGGAAAGACACCAUUCCAGAAAGAAUGCACUUCUUAUUCUUGUUCUUGUUGGCACUUGUAUGGUGAUUGGGGAUGGGAUUCUCACUCCCGCUAUAUCUGUUCUUUCAGCUGCUGGUGGGAUCAUGGUAGACCACCCCAAUAUCAGUAAUGAUAUAGUUGUAGUUGUUGCAGUUGUAAUAUUAGUGGGUUUGUUUUGCAUGCAACACUAUGGAACAGAUAGAGUUGGCUGGCUCUUUGCUCCUAUUGUGCUACUUUGGUUUCUGUUAAUUGGGGGUAUUGGCAUAUUCAAUGUCUGGAAGUAUGAUAGCAGUGUUGUGAAAGCUUUUUCACCUGCAUAUAUUUAUCGAUAUUUAAGAAGGGAAGGUAAAGAUGGCUGGACCUCCCUUGGAGGUAUUAUGCUUAGCAUA
rnacentral:misc_RNA from 1 species